UGAGGAAUAUUGGUCAAUGGUCGCUAGACUGAACCAGCCAAGUAGCGUGCGGGAUGAAGGCCCUCCGGGUCGUAAACCGCUUUUAGACGGGGAUAAAAGGGGCGUACGUGUACGCCGUAUUGCAUGUACCGUCAGAAAAACGGACCGGCUAAUUCCGUGCCAGCAGCCGCGGUAAUACGGAAGGUCCGGGCGUUAUCCGGAUUUAUUGGGUUUAAAGGGAGCGUAGGCGGACUUUCAAGUCAGUGGUAAAAUCGUGUGGCUCAACCAUACCUCGCCAUUGAAACUGGAAGUCUGGAGUGCACACAGGGGUGCCGGAAUUCAUGGUGUAGCGGUGAAAUGCUUAGAUAUCAUGAAGAACUCCGAUCGCGAAGGCAAGUGCCCGGGGUGCAACUGACGCUGAGGCCCGAAGGUGCGGGUAUCGAACAGGAUUAGAUACC
rnacentral:rRNA from 1 species